rnacentral:rRNA from 1 species
UACGUAGGGUGCGAGCGUUGUCCGGAAUGACUGGGCGUAAAGAGCUCGUAGGUGGUUUGUCGCGUUGUUCGUGAAAUCUCACGGCUUAACUGUGAGCGUGCGGGCGAUACGGGCAGACUAGAGUACUGCAGGGGAGACUGGAAUUCCUGGUGUAGCGGUGGAAUGCGCAGAUAUCAGGAGGAACACCGGUGGCGAAGGCGGGUCUCUGGGCAGUAACUGACGCUGAGGAGCGAAAGCGUGGGGAGCGAACAGG